GACGUAGGUGGCGAACGUUAUCCGGAAUUAUUGGGCGUAAAGCGCACGUAGGCGGCUUAGCAAGUCGGAUGUGAAAUCCCUCGGCUCAACCAAGGAAGUGCAUCCGAAACUGCUGAGCUUGAGUACUUAAGAGGAUCGCGGAAUUCCCGGUGUAGAGGUGAAAUUCGUAGAUAUCGGGAGGAACACCAGUGGCGAAGGCGGCGAUCUGGGAAGAUACUGACGCUGAGGUGCGAAAGCGUGGGGAGCAAACAGG
rnacentral:rRNA from 1 species